GAUGAACGCUGGCGGCGUGCCUAAUACAUGCAAGUCGAGCGAACGGACGAGAAGCUUGCUUCUCUGAUGUUAGCGGCGGACGGGUGAGUAACACGUGGAUACCCUACCUAUAAGACUGGUAUAACUUCGGGAAACCGGAGCUAAUCCCGGAUAAUCUUUUGAACCGCGUUGUUCAAAAGUGAAAGACGGUCUUGCUGUCACUUAUAGAUGCAUCCGCGCUGCAUUAGCUAGUUGUUAAGGUAACGGCCUACCACGGCAAGGAUGCAUAGCCGACGUGAGAGGGUGAUCGGCCACAUUGGAACUGAGACACGGUCCAGACUCCUACGGGAGGCAGCAGUAGGGAAUCGUCCGCAAUGGGCGAAAACCUGACGGAGCAAGGCCGAGUGAGUGAUAAAGGUGUUGGGAUCGUAAUACUCUGUUAUGAGGGAUGAACAGAUGUGUAAGUAACUGUGCAGAGCUUGACGGUAACGAGUCAGAAAGCCACGGCUAACUACGUG
rnacentral:rRNA from 1 species